rnacentral:rRNA from 1 species
UACGUAGGGGGCAAGCGUUGUCCGGAUUUAUUGGGCGUAAAGAGCGUGUAGGCGGCCAUACAGGUCAGCUGUGAAAACUCGAGGCUCAACCUCGAGACGUCGGUUGAAACCGUAUGGCUAGAGUCCGGAAGAGGAGAGUGGAAUUCCCGGUGUAGCGGUGAAAUGCGCAGAUAUCGGGAAGAACACCCGUGGCGAAGGCGGCUCUCUGGACCUGUUCUGACGCUGAGGAGCGAAAGCGUGGGGAGCGAACAGG